GGUGAAUUACUUUAAGUAUAGAAGAUUAAGUUUGCAACUUACAUAGUAUGAUUGUCUCAUGUUCGCUU
rnacentral:tRNA from 1 species